AAGAGGUUAAAUGAUAAUCAAAGGAGCUGCUAACUACCUUUAAAGCGGUUAAAUUCCGUUACCCUCUUA
rnacentral:tRNA from 1 species